GGGGCUAUAGCUCAGCUGGAAGAGCGCUUGGCUCGCAUUCAAGAGGCCAGGGGUUCGAAUCCCCUUAGCUCCA
rnacentral:tRNA from 1 species